AUGAACAUAUUUUGGGUGCAUAAAAAGCAGGAGUCGUUUGUCUUCUUCGCUGCACACAAUUCAAUAAAACAUAAAUCUUUCAUUUGCUGCCUUGUCUCUAACAUUAGAAGAAUGUAUCAUGCCCUGAGAGUGGUGGGGUUUUUUACAGGAGAAAAUGAAGAUGUGCUCCUGUUUUCAGAGUGUUGUUUAAUGUGUUAUGAUUUGUUGUUCUAUUAUAUUUUGUUUAUAUUGUAUUGUUCUGGGCAUGGCCCCAUGUAAGCUGCCCUGAGUCCCUGUUUGGGAGAUGGUGGUGGGGUAUAAAUAAAGAUUAUUAUUAUUAUUGUUAUUAUUAUUAUUAUUAUUAUUACUUUUUGUUGUGAAUCAUGUUUUCUUUAAGACUCCAGAUACAAGAGUCAUCUUUUGGUCUUUUCCUUUCUCCAGUAAUCAUGCCUGAGAAAUUCCUGGAUUCCUAAGCCACUGCUUGUUUUUUUGCUUUUCUUUUGGUUUCCUUUCUGUCCUCUUUUGAUGAUGAUAAGAGGAGGCAGAUAUAUCAGGGGUGUUACUGAGCUUUCUUCUGUAGUGUGCUCUUUAUCCAGUUAAGAUUUCCAUCUGUGCACACUCCAUCAGAAGACUAAAAUGACAACAUUCAAAGUAUAAAAGGAUUGUUCCUGUGUACAACUCAAAAAUCUCUCCCGAGAAUUAGAAAUACCAUGUAAGAAAGUAGGAGAGGAAAUCAGCAUGUGUGGGAAGAUGUUUGGGUGUGCUUUGCAAUAGGUGCAUAUGCAUGAGACAGAGCUUACAAUGUUGAAAUGUCUAUGGAAAGAAGUUGGCAUUGAUUAUAUGGGUUCAAGGAGGAAAGUGAAAGAAAACUGACAUUGAUCAAAGGAUCAGCAGAUUUGAUCAAUUUCUUAAAGGGCCAUGUAUCAAUAAUUAAUCAAUAAAAGAAGAGUUGUAAGUGAAGAAAAGACACAGAACAAGACAGCAGAGGUGUGCAAAAUGACAGAAAACAGAUUCAGAUGGCCCUUGCUUUGUUUUGUAAAGAUUCAGAGGCGUCCCAUUCUGAUUCCUAAUCUGAAUCUCCAAAGUUUUGUAAUUCCUUCAUUAAAAUUUAUUCCACUAGCAGCAAUGGGGAAACUUUUGAGGCUUUUUUGCAUCACUUUUAUAGCUAUCAGGAUGAAACUUGUAGGUGUCAUUUAUAACUUUAGGCCUGCCAAGUUUUAGAAUGUUUCAAUCAUCCAAUAAUAUUUAGGAAAUGUUUAAAAAUUUUUUACAUUUUUCCCCCCAAAAAACUACAAGAGCUAUCCCCUUGCAUUUCUACAAAACGAGACAAAAUAAGGAGAGCGUAAAUCCUGCAAAGGUUCAGAAAAAAAUGUUCAUCUACUGAUUUUUAGGAAUUUUUAAAAGUUUUUUCAAUUAGAAAUUAUUUUUUAAAAAUCUUAAGAGAUAUCCCUUCAAAUUGUUGCACAGUGAGAUAACAUGAGCAGGGCAGCAAGCCUGCCAAGUUUCAGAACAAUCAGUCUAUCUACCAUUUUUAAAAAAAUUCAAUUUAAGCAUAUGUGAUUAACCUACACUAGGGCUUUAUCACUGCCAACCUAUUCUUCUGGUGCGAGCAGAAUUCUGGGAAAUGUAGUUUAGGGUGGGGCCUUUUGAAUACUCUGCUACAGAGGUCCUUGCCUUCCCAAACUGCAUUUCCCAGAAUUCUGCUUACACCGUAUUACAGCCCCAGUGUGAUAAUUUUCAUAUCAAUGAGGCUUAUAAGCAAUAAACACACACAGUAAGCUGGUAAAAUAAAGAUUUGAGGGGAAAGUAAGGGCUGGGGAGAGAGUAUAGUUAGCUAACUAUGGGAAUUUGGAAAAGUUUGAGGUUGGAUAAUUUCAACAGAGGAAGGUUAUAGACUGGAUAUGAAGGGAAUUACGAAACAGAACUUCAAAGCUUUGCACACUCCUAUAAGAUUACUAGUAACAGAGAGAAAGAAUGUAAUUGAUCAGAGGUUUAGGCAAGAAGCCAUUUUAUGAAGAAAGACCAGCUAUUCAGGUGUUUAAUUGAGGAUAAUAGGGAAGAAUAGAUUAUUAUUUUCCCCCUAUGUUCGGGCCAAACCAACAAAUGAAAUUGUUACCAUUAUAGAAACUUGUUUGAAAAGCAUGACAUAGAGGACAGAAUUUGUCGUUUUCAUGCAAUAUCCACAGAUCCUAAAGUGUUUCAGGAAUUUUUCUGCACAGAAAUAUGCAUGAGUGAAAUAAUAUUUUUUAAAUGCCAGAAACAGUAAUUUUCCAUGCAAAAAAGUUAUUUGGACUAUAGAAGGGAAAUAGUUAAUCUCAAUUUGUGGUGUAUGUCUUCUAUUAUCCCUUCUUAUCUUACUGAAACAAAAAUAUCACCUGGAAAAAGUCAUUUCAGGAUAUCAAUAUACACAGAAAGAUUUUUCUUGAUAUUAUUUUUUGCAGGGUAAGUUUGGUCACAUCUGUUUUUUUAUUUUUAGUGUUAACGUUCAUUAAAUUGGUUUGAUCAUAUUUGGUUGACGGAGGUACAGAAAUUUUAAAGGAUUAAAUAUACUUUUGCAGAUGACUAUGGUCCUUAUAUCUUACAGCACAAAAUGUUCAGAUUUCUUGGUGAAAUAGGGAUCUAGGGACCAAUCUGCUUCACCAACUUGAGAUUCUGAGCAUAUGAUGAUAGGAGAAAUCUUCGGGCAUCUACUUUAAUGUAAUCUUCAGAGCACCUGGAGGUUAAUUUCUCUAGUUAUUUAAUAACUUGCUAUUUUGUUUCCUUGAGCUUCUUCCUGUUUUAGAAUAACAGAAUAAUAGAUCUCAAAGGCAUCUAACCUCUUGCCAUGCAAAAAUAUACAACCCAAAUAUUUCCAAAAUUAAAAUCUAUCAAAGAAGAGUCCCCAUCACACUCAAAGGUAGCAUAUUCCACUGUCUAACAGUUCUUACUAUAAGGAAGUUCUAGAUGUUUGGGUGGAAUCUUUUUUCAUGUACUUUGAAUCCAUUGCUCCAUGUCAUAGGCCCCUUCUACACUGUUCUUAUAUCCCAGGAUCUGAUCCCACAUUAUUUUCUUAUCCCAGGUUAUAUGGCAGUGGAGACUCAUAUAAUCCAGUUCAAAGCAGAUAAGCUGGGAUCAGACCUUGGAAUGUAAGGAUGGCAUAGAAAGAGCCUUAGUUAUUAGUUAUUAGGCUUGCUCAAAUAAUUCGAUUUCCCCGUUACUCGUUACUAAUGCAUUACUUUUGUAACUUGUGAAGCAAUAUACGACCUUGAUUGUCCACAUGUCUGGAUAUCGCGGUUUCGAACCGCGACAGGCCCUUUUUCUUAUGUCGUCAUUUCUUUUCGUUGGGAAAAAAAGGUUUUGCAAAUCACCCAAACUUGUUUAAGUGCACUGGGGCAACCUAGCGUGUUGUUUCCACCUUGUGGCCAAUCAGAGAGCACGUUUAACCCAGGGGAGGGGCUGGUAGUACGUCCUGAAUGAAAAGAGCGUGCACAGGCGCCUUGUGGCUCAUUUCGGGAUCUGCAGAGAGAGGGUGGAUUGGGAGUGAGAUUCCGCAGGCAGGCAAGAUUGCUGCGUCACAGCUUCCUUGGCUGAGCUAGAGCUACAGAUUAGAAGACCGGGAGAAAAGGUUGGGUGGGUGAGGUGGGGUGGGAAACUGUUGGGUGUUUCUGAAUUUUUUUUUUCCAAAGGGCCUGUGGCCUUUUUUCCCCACAAGCUUGGCGUUUGCCAUUUUCCCACCUGGCCUGCAAUUUUUCUGCUGCGCCAUUUUGCCUGGUGCGGGCGGGGUGGGCUUUCGUUUUGAUUAGGAAACUUUUAUUUUUUCAACGCUAGUAGCAAAGUCUGGCAAAAGGAUUGCACAUCCCAUCCUCCUCCGUAGAAUAACACCUGUUUUUGGAAAAAAGGGACCCUUAUUUUGGUUCCUUUCCUGCUCUGCUGCUCUAAAGGGCUUGUCUGUGCCAGGGCAGCAGUGAUUCAAAAGCAAAGUCUGGCAAAAGGAUUGCACAUCCCAUCCUCCACCCUAGAAUAACACCUGUUUUGGGAAAAAAGGGACCCUGAUUUUGGUUCCUUUCCUGCUCUGCUGCUCUAAAGGGCUUGUCUGUGCCAGGGCAGCAGUGAUUCAAAAGCAAAGUCUGGCAAAAGGAUUGCACAUCCCAUCCUCCACCCUAGAAUAACACCUGUUUUGCGAAAAAAAGGGACCCUGAUUUUGGUUCCCCCUCUUUCCUUUCUUCUCAGCUGCUCAAGUAGGGCUUGCUGCAAAUAUCUUUCUCCUAUAUUAACCCUAUCAAGGUCUGGAAAAUACAGGUAUCCCCUUUUUAACGUAUAACAACAAGAACAACUGUAAUAGAAGGGUUUGCGGCAGUUCGACCCAGAACACAUUGCCAAUCAAGAAACAACACAUCUUUCCCCCCAGUAACACAAUACCUUCCUCCCUUCUGUAAC
ensembl:lncRNA